rnacentral:lncRNA from 1 species
GUGUUCUCUCUAGGCUCCGGCAUGACGGGUGACUUCUUCCGAGUCUGGCUUCUGCAGCACACAGGGCUUCGCCAGCACCCAGCUCCUGCAGCAUGGGCAGCUCCUGUGACAGCAGGCGCCCGCAGCCUGCAAAGCGUCUCCAGUGCCGCCGCCUCAGUGAACCUCAACCAGCGGCACCUAGCAGCUUUCUCUGCCACCCUCUUCAGGUAGUUCUGUAGCAGCGCGUUUCUCAUGAGACACUUCCCUGUGAGCAGCUUUUUCUACCCUUGAGGAUGGAUUUCCAGCAAAUUCUGCCCAUGUGGUACCACAGCCACUUCUCUGCCAUUCAGUGAAACUGCCGUUGUGCCCUCUUCAAGGUCUGGAUCUAAGCCCAGGGACCAGGAAACCUCUUGCUUGAGUGCUGGAACUCAGGCCAGAAGGCAGGAAGCCCGCCUGACCCCAUGUCUCAGGCUGCCAGAGGAGCGUGCGAUGAGGAAGGCUGGACUGUCUUCACAGGACACCAGGGAGAAGCCUCAAGCCACUGCCCCCUGACAAGUCGCAGCUCUCCAGCCUGUCUCCUCACUCCCCUCCCCUCCACAUGGGGGGGUUGGGGUGGGGGCGGGGAAGGUUCGGGGCAGGGGUCAUUUCAGCUACUGGGCACCAGUCUCCUCCUCAUGUUUAUCCUGUUCCCUUUGCUUGAAAGGUUCGUACUCCAGAUCCUUGUAAAACCGCUUCUCACCCUUUGAGUCUCAGCUUAAAUGUCCCCUCCUUGGAGGGGUCUUCCCUGACAAUGAAGCUCCGACCGUCCUCUCCUGUUUUACCCAGUUCAUUUCUUUCUGGCAUUUGUAACUACUUGAAGUUAAAGUGUGUGCCAUGUA